rnacentral:lncRNA from 14 species
GGCUGCCCUGCCACAGAAAUGGGUCAGACAAGUUACAAGACCUGUAGAUUGCUCGGAUGGGGAUCCACCUAGCAACACCACCGCACUAAUUCUGGAUUGGGAAAUUUGCCCUACAGGAGUUUGUCUUGAUUAAAGGCUUCAGCCUGUCUUUGCAACACAAACACAGGAGCCCCCAUGCUGCUCUCUGAAAUUUACAGCGUAUUUUCUUUUUACUCAAGCAUAUUGAAGCAGAACAGAAGAAAGGAUCAAAGCUAAAGAGGUUUCAGUGGUUUCCAACUGGAAAUUGCUUGGAAAAUGAAGACAUGAUGACGUGAAUGUGUGUAACAGCAGGAGAAAUGUUGCAGUUCUCCAUAAUCUGUAAACCUGCAAGAUUUGUAGAAUCGUAUCUCUGUGGGAGCUCCUAGCCUUGAUGAGUGCCUCAGUGCACCUUGUGUGGGAAAUGGCACCUGCAGAUCCUCACCAGCUUCAUAGAGAUGGUGUUCAUGUGCAGUGGGGUUCUUUAAUGGUUGCUUAUUUGUUACUUACCUGGAGGCCCAGAGAAUUUGGCAUUUUGGCAGAAUAUAGGGCUGCAUCGGCUUCACUGAUAAAGGAUCCCUUGCAGACACAAAGAAGAGAGGAACAAUUCCAGGCCACUUUACAAGUCACUGGGAACAAAACAGAGCUGCCUCUGCACCUUGAACUAGUGUUUUUUGUGGGGAGAAGGGAGAGACAUAUUCUUCUUUCUCUAUAA